CACUGACUUCUUCCUCUGGAUAAGCUGGAUAUCUUAGUGUUUCUGGUUCUUGUACGGCAAAAUAAGGUGCUUGGGAAAAUUAAAGCAACUUUUACUGCGUCUUAAGGACACUACAAGUCAAAAAACAAACCUAAGAGUGUAGACACCAAGGACUGGAAGGAAACAACCCUUGAUUUUAAGAAUGAGACUGAUUCUGGAUGUGACACUGAUGCUUCCACAGAGGGAGCUGGUCCAAGGUGUUCCAGCCUCAGCCCUGGAACUCACAGACCAGCCAGCUGCAACCUGUGUGAUCCAAGGUCAUCUGCAUCCGCGAGGGCCCCCCCCCCCCCAGUGCUCCCCAGCAUGCUGCUGGGGUUGUCUGCCUAGGGGCUCUGCUCUGCCAGUGGCUGUUUUUCCAAGAGAAGCUUCAGGGACUUGGGUGGGUGCUGGGGACUGGGUUCCCUCACGCCAGCAUCCUCCUGUGCUGUGGGCAUGGUGUGCUCUGGGGCCUGGAGACAGUCCCAGCGCUCACCCCCAAGCACCGGUGACUCUCCAUAGAUGAUGGACAGGAGUUGCUGCCACUCUUGCUUGGCAGGUUCAAGCUGAUCACUCAUGCUUAGGUGAAAGAACGACUUGAGUCGUGUGUGCUGGAAACCUGAGUCACAUCUGUGGCUGCCAGUGAUUGCACCAGGAAAGGCAUGGCGUGAGGGGAAGGGCCUCCCCCAGCUGUGCCUGUUGUGCUGUCCUGGAAGAGAAGGAUUCUUACCUCCUCUGGGAGCCAUCAUUCAACUCCUCAAGGAUUGGAAGUGACUCCCCGCAGCACCCUGCCCCACUGCCCAGCAGCCCUCCCUCAGCAGCAGGCUCCAUCAGCAGUGAUGUCACACUUCAGUGUAGUCAAGACAGGGCCUAAGUUAUUGUUUGCAUAAAAAAGAAUCAUGUUCCCUGUGUACAUUUAAAAAAAAAAAAGUGAAUUGUAAGAGAAUAAAACUUGUUUGAAAAUUUGGAAUAGUGCUGCUGCCAGCUUAUUUUUCUGGUACUUGUAUUUUCACAUGUUAAAUGAUCUUUAUAUAUGUUGAAUUAACAAAUAUUUUGAGUUUCUUGAGGGGGGAAAAAGCAUAUUAAUGGUAUUGAAAUGUGUUAGUAGUUUGGCUGUGUGCCCAAAACUCUGUUUUCGCAGCAGAAGUGGAGAACUGUAUGUGAAGAAAGUAUAACCAUUAUUUCUUUGUAUUUUAGGGGCUUUAACCAGGACAUCCUCUAGUUGGUGUUAGGAAUGUUUGCUUAAUUUCCAGACUUUUUUUUAAAAACACAUCGUGAGUUUUUUGAGGCUCCAACCUGACUGAUUAGUGCAUGGUCAGCCAUCAACUAAGGCUGAGGCAUCUCUGACCGAGGUGUUUUUGUUUGGUUUUGUUUUUUAAAAUCAUGUAUUUGCUACAAAGUAUUGUACUUGUCUCAAUGGGAAUGGUGUAAAAAACUGAAAAGGCCUUAUGUGAUAUGUAUCAUAGUUAAUAAAUCAAUCUUGUAAAAAACCAAACCUGAGAGAGAUGAGGGUGGCCCUCCUCCCUGGGCCCUGAGCACACCCCCAGUGGGCAGCCAGCAGGGUGGGCUCCGGCCCCACGGGAACCCUGGCCCAUCCUCAGACCAUCAGGCAGGAGGGGCGAGGCAGGUCUCUGGCCAGGGGGUGAGGGUCCCAGAGCCCCACAUCCACCCCACCUAGGGGGAGGCAGUCUCCCAUGAGGAGCUGCUGGCACCCUCCACCUGCACUCUCAGGGCUGCUGCCAGGAGCCCCUUCUCUGCUCUCUCGGAGCUGCCCUGCUUCCCCUGCAGCUGCAGUUCUUUCAGGUCCUUAGCCGUCGCACCGCCCACAGACCCCUGUGGCCAGAGGGGCCCAGCAAGCCAGGGCAAGCCCAGAGCUGGCAGUCCCUGCCCUCCCUCUGUGCUGUGGUCUGGGUGGAGGCCGCAGCAGCGGUGCUGGGCUCAGAUGCCCGGGUUUGUCCCUGUUGACCCAGGACUGUUGGCCUCUCAGGAUAGCACCUCUGGGGUGCAGGUUGGCUGCCCUUGAGAGACACCUCUGCCACCCAGGCUUGGUCUACUCUAUCCCUAUUCUCUCCUCACCCUCUUCUCUCUUCAAGUCUCCUUAGGUCGCCCUCCAAGUGCCACCUGCAGCCAUGACCUCUCUGUUCCCACAGCCUCCCUUCUGGCCCAGGUCCUGGUUCUAGUCCACCUGGACUCUGAUGGACACGCCCGUACCUUAAGUGGCCUCCCUGCCCUGUCUUCAUCCACCGAAGCUAUUCCAGAAGGCAGAGCUGGCAGGAGUGGGGACGACUCACCCAACGAGCUGCCUCUCGCCCCUCCUGUGCCCCCGGCGGAUGCCGUCCUUGAUCACAACGCAACCUUCCCACGCCUCAGGCUCUGCACGCGGCUGCCCCACGGGUGCCUC
ensembl:lncRNA